rnacentral:rRNA from 1 species
UGGGGGAAUUUUUGGACAAUGGGGGAAACCCUGAUCCAGCCAUCCCGCGUGUGCGAUGAAGGCCUUCGGGUUGUAAAGCACUUUUGGCAGGAAAGAAACGUCGCGGGUUAAUACCCCGCGAAACUGACGGUACCUGCAGAAUAAGCACCGGCUAACUACGUGCCAGCAGCCGCGGUAAUACGUAGGGUGCAAGCGUUAAUCGGAAUUACUGGGCGUAAAGCGUGCGCAGGCGGUUCGGAAAGAAAGAUGUGAAAUCCCAGAGCUUAACUUUGGAACUGCAUUUUUAACUACCGGGCUAGAGUGUGUCAGAGGGAGGUGGAAUUCCGCGUGUAGCAGUGAAAUGCGUAGAUAUGCGGAGGAACACCGAUGGCGAAGGCAGCCUCCUGGGAUAACACUGACGCUCAUGCACGAAAGCGUGGGGAGCAAACAGGAUUAGAUACCCUGGUAGUCCACGCCCUAAACGAUGUCAACUAGCUGUUGGGGGCCUUCGGGCCUUGGUAGCGCAGCUAACGCGUGAAGUUGACCGCCUGGGGAGUACGGUCGCAAGAUU